GUAUGCAAUCUGCCUUUCACAGAGGGAUAGCCCAGAGAAAUUUGGAUUAAUACCUCAUAGUAUAUUGAUGUGGCAUCACAUUAUUAUUAAAGAUUUAUCGGUGAAAGAUGAGCAUGCGUCCCAUUAGCUUGUUGGUAAGGUAACGGCUUACCAAGGCAACGAUGGGUAGGGGUCCUGAGAGGGAGAUCCCCCACACUGGUACUGAGACACGGACCAG
rnacentral:rRNA from 1 species